CAAGUUGAGGUUUUCUCCCGGUACGCAACCAAAGGAAGUCAGACAAAUGUAUUUAAAUAUAAUUGAGUGUAUUUACGUUCUGUAUUAGUAAUUGAAUAUAUCCCAUGCAUUCAUCAAAAUAAUGAAUGUUAAGUAUAUCAUUGUUUUUCUAACCAUUUUGAUAACAAUGUCAUCAAUAUGCAAAGGACUCCAGCAGUUUGCUCGUUGGGUACAAAUAAAGCCUGGGGAAGAUGCUGGUCAAUCAGUAAACCGUGUCAUUCGAUGUUCAGGAUGCAAACAGUCAGCUACAAGGGAAAAUAAACGCCCUCGACCUAAACUCUCUCGCAAAGGUCCACUGCCUUUCUAAGAUCAGCACACGACUGCACCCAGUACUUAUUUUCUGCAAAGAUCAUGUCCAGUGCCAUCUACGAGCAGAGAAAGCAAGGACAAACAUCCGUUUAGUAUCUCCAUCAGGAGUACAAUCUGUAUUUCUGUUAAAUGCUGAAGAUAUUUGUUUCAGUUGUUUAAAAUAUUGCCACAGAAUGAUCCAAAAAUUUCCAGAUGUGAAUCUGCCACUUCAGAGAAUAUAAUC